rnacentral:snoRNA from 1 species
UCAUGCUGUACCCAUGCCAGGGUAAAUUGCAGCCUUGAACUAUUACCCAGCUGCACCUGUAGACUGUGAGCACUGGAUGAGAUUGCACAGUG